UCGGCGUGCGCGGAGAAAAGAGAUGGGGGCGGCGUCACCUCGCCUCGAUUCGCUUCCGGGGCGCCGUGUGGCACACAGUACCUCCCCCUCAAAACGAUGAUCUUUUGCCUUUUUUUCUUGUGUUGCUUUCUUUCUGUAUUCUGCAAGAAGAUGACCAGCUGGCUUUGGCGGUG
ensembl:ncRNA F25B4.12 ncRNA